UACGAAGGGGGCUAGCGUUGCUCGGAAUUAUUGGGCGUAAAGGGCGCGUAGGCGGUGCGGUAAGUCACCUGUGAAAUCUCCUGGCUCAACUGGGAGCUUGCAGGCGAAACUGCCGUGCUGGAGUGUGGGAGAGGUGCGUGGAAUUCCUGGUGUAGCGGUGAAAUGCGUAGAUAUCGGGAGGAACACCUGUGGCGAAAGCGGCUCACUGGACCACAACUGACGCUGAGGCGCGAAAGCUAGGGGAGCAAACAGG
rnacentral:rRNA from 1 species